rnacentral:rRNA from 1 species
AAUAAUGGAUGCCUAGGAGAUUUUGGCCGAGGAAGGACGCAUAUGGCGGCGAUACUCGUCGGGUAGGUGCCAUAAACCUAUUAUCCGGCGGUUUCCGAAUGGAGCAAUCCACCGCGUUUUACGCGGUAGCCACUCAUAAAAAUAGUCUCUUUAUGGGAUUAUAUAGUGUUUGGCGGGGUACGGCGUGAACUGAAACAUCUAAUUAACGCCAGGAAAAAAAAUCAUAGAGAUUCCCCAAGUAGCGGUGAGCGAAAAGGGAACAGUCUAAACUCGCUUGUGCGUUGCACAAGAAUUUUUAAGUAACAAUUUUCAAUUUUCAUUGAAUUUUCAUUUGUUUAAUUUUUAAAAUUUUUGAACAUUUGGAUUUGAUUAGAAAUUAGAAAUUAAGAAUUAGAAAUUCUCGCGCAGCGUGCGAGUGGGGGUUGCAGGGCAGACGAUAUUCGAUGCAAGCAUGGAUAGCAGAAGGACCCGGAAUGGUCCCCCAAAGUACGUGAAAGGCGUGUACGCAAAAUUUAUGCUUCCGAUAGUUUGUUCCUAAGUACCAUGGGGUACGGUGAAACCCUGUGGGAAUCUGGGGCGGCCACGUUCCAAGACUAAAUACCGAAAUCUACCGAUAGUGAACUAGUACCGUGAGGGAAAGGUGAAAAGCACCCCGAGAGGGGGAUGAAAUAGACCUGAAAUUAUUGGCUAACAAGCAGAGAGAGCUUGUCCAUAGGACAAGAAUUUUCAAGUAUCAAUUUUCAAUUUUCAUUGAAUUUUCAAUGUUUCAUUUUUAAAAUUUUGAACAUUAGAAUUUGAUUGUAAAUUGUAAAUUGUAAAUUGGUAAUUCUCGCCUUGUGGGCGGGUGAUCUCGUGCCUAUUGAAGAAUGAACCGGUGAGUUAUUCAACACUUUUUGUCUAACCAAUUAAGUUGGGAAGGCGUAGUGAAAGCGUGCUCUAAAUGAGCGAUUUUACAGAGUGUGGAAUAGACCCGAAACCGGGUGAGCUAACCUUGAGCAGGGUGAAUGCUGGCGAAAGCUCAGCAGGAGGCCCGAACUCGUAUCCGUAGCAAUGGGUUGAGAUGACUUGAGGUUAGGGGCAAUAUGCCAAACGAACCCGGAGAUAGCUGGUUCUCCCCGAAAUAUAUUUAGGUAUAGCGG